AGCUGUGCACAGUGGCAGUAUCAUAGCCAUGAGGUUUAUCAAAGGCGUGAUUAUUGCUAAUUGAAAACAUACCUUUUAAAAACGUAAUCCUUAGUACAACAGUUAUGUG
ensembl:snRNA U4 U4 spliceosomal RNA